rnacentral:rRNA from 1 species
UCGGGAAUUUUGGGCAAUGGGCGAAAGCCUGACCCAGCAACGCCGCGUGAAGGAUGAAGUAUUUCGGUAUGUAAACUUCGAAAGAAUAGGAAGAAUAAAUGACGGUACUAUUUAUAAGGUCCGGCUAACUACGUGCCAGCAGCCGCGGUAAUACGAAGGGGGCUAGCGUUGUUCGGAAUUACUGGGCGUAAAGCGCACGUAGGCGGACUGAUAAGUCAGGGGUGAAAUCCCGGGGCUCAACCUCGGAACUGCCUUUGAUACUGUUAGUCUCGAGUCCGGAAGAGGUGAGUGGAAUUCCUAGUGUAGAGGUGAAAUUCGUAGAUAUUAGGAAGAACACCAGUGGCGAAGGCGGCUCACUGGUCCGGUACUGACGCUGAGGUGCGAAAGCGUGGGGAGCAAACAGGAUUAGAUACCCUUGUAGUCCCUGAGCGGGCUGGCAAGGCGCAU